AGAACGAACGCUGGCGGCAGGCCUCAAACAUGCAAGUCUAGGGGGUGUAGCAAUACAUCACCGGCGGACGGGUGCGUAACACGUGGGAAUGUACCUACUGGUUCGGAACAACGCAGGGAAACUUGCGCUAAUACCGAAUAAGCCCGAAAGGGGAAAGAUUUAUCGCCAGUAGAUCAGCCCGCGUAGGAUUAGCUAGUUGGUGGGGUAAUGGCCCACCAAGGCUCCGAUCCUUAGCUGUUCUGAGAGGAAGAUCAGCCACACUGGGACUGAGACACGGCCCAGACUCCUACGGGAGGCAGCAGUUGGGAAUCUUGGACAAUGGGGGAAACCCUGAUCCAGCCAUGCCGCGUGAGUGAUGAAGGCCUUCGGGUUGUAAAACUCUUUCGACGGGGACGAUAAUGACGGUACCCGUAGAAGAAGCUCGGCUAACUUCGCGCCAGCAGCCGC
rnacentral:rRNA from 1 species